rnacentral:rRNA from 1 species
GACGUAGGGGGCCAGCGUUGUUCGGAAUUACUGGGUGUAAAGGGUUCGUAGGCGGUGUGGCAAGUCGGGAGUGAAAUCUCUGGGCUCAACUCAGAGACUGCUUCCGAAACUGCUGUGCUGGAGUGUGGGAGAGGCGCGUGGAAUUGCAGGUGUAGCGGUGAAAUGCGUAGAUAUCAGGAGGAACACCGAUGGCGAAGGCAGGUCUCUGGGCCACUACUGACGCUGAGAAGCGAAAGCAUGGGGAGCGAACAGG